GCCGGCGUGGCGGAAUGGCAGACGCGGCAGACUCAAAAUCUGUUGUUGGCAACAACGUAUGGGUUCAAGUCCCAUCGCCGGCA
rnacentral:tRNA from 1 species